rnacentral:tRNA from 1 species
GCGCCCGUAGCGCAGCUGGAUAGCGCGAUAGACUCCGACUCUAUAGGUCGCAGGUUCGACUCCUGUCGGGCGCACCA